UACAGAGGCCUCGAGCGUUAGGCGGAAUCACUGGGCUUAAAGCGUGUGUAGGCGGCUUGGUAAGUCCCUUGUGAAAUCCCACAGCUUAACUGUGGAACUGCUCGGUAUACUGCUGAUCUUGAGCCACUCAGGGGCUACCGGAACAAAUGGUGGAGCGGUGAAAUGCGUAGAUAUCAUGUGGAACGCCAAUGGUGAAAACAGGUAGCUGGGGGUGUGCUGACGCUGAGACACGAAAGCCAGGGGAGCAAACGGG
rnacentral:rRNA from 1 species